UUGUUGGUAAUUAGAAUUCGGGUCUUCAUUCAUCAAAGUUUAUCAAGUAUCUUGUGUAAGCUCUCUAUCUAGGCGAGUUAUUUGUGCAAUUUUUAUUUAUUUAAUGCACUUUCUUUGUAUGUACUCACAAUUUGGUUUGCAUAUUUUAACUUUCUAUUUUAUGUGAAUAGUAUCUUGGUAGAAUCUUUACAUGCAUCAGAAUAAUUGUGCCUGAUUUGCCAUGCAUAUGUGGUUUUGAUGAAGUUUGUCAUUUGCUACCAACUAAGUUGCAGAAUUAAACCGUCUUACCAAAAAUCUGAGAUACCAAAAUUGUUGUUGGAAAAUUGGGUCUCUCGAUUUGCCCUAUACUUUUUCUUUUAAAUCUAUUUUAAUCUUCUUCAUUGUUUACUUCCUGGAAUUUUGAAGUGGACUAUGCAGCCAAUUUGUUUGAUAAUAUGUCUGACUAAUCUUAUUUGGGGUGAGUGUCUUAUUGAGUUUGUGUUUUUUAGUCAUUAACCAGAUUUCUGUACCUUUUUCUUUUGGUUUUGCUUGUUCUCUGUGUUUCAUGUUAUUUGUGUGCAUGUACAAUAUCUAUUUAUUAUACACUCUCCAAAAUACCUGUGCAUGAUCGGCGAGAUACAAUCAAAAAGCCUAAAGGGAGGGCAAAAAAUUUGUGUGCUAGCAGUAAUAAAGGAAUUCAAGGUAUGAAAUUGAUGUAGGGAGCAUUACUUUGGACCAAUGCAAGCAGGAAUAACUUCUUCUGGCAUGUCAUAAUUUACUAAGAGACGUAUUCAAGCUAUAUGAUUAUGAUAUAUGGUUUGCCAACGAUUAGUGGUUUCACAAAGGUUUGAAUAGGACUUGGAGUGCACUGUCAGUGUGUAUUAUUGCUAAUGAGAAUGAAUGGGACGUUUAUGGGGUCGUCCUGCAGGUUGAUGCAAUUGUGAAGAUUAUUUGGUUACACAUGGCUACCUUGUGAGCUACAAGAUGAAGAUGAAAUGACCGUAAAAUAUGCUGAAGAGGCUCAUCAAGUCAUGUUGAGGUAGUUUAGAAAGCAUCUCAAGUAUGUUUUUCUCAUUGUGAUUAUCUUCUGUUCUGUUUUAAAUAGGUUCUGAAUAUAAACUUAAGUUACUUACUGGGUUGUGUUUCUUGGUGUUGGUAACUUAACUCAUUUACUAUUAUGCACAUAUAAUUAACUUAGUCUUGCAUGUGUGGACCUUUAAUGCGUUUUGCAUAGAUCCUUACAUUCUUUCGCAUUUGAAACCAGCUUGACCAGAGAUGAUACGUACUUGACCUUGAUGGUUAUUGGUACAUGUAUAUACAACUUAUCCACUUACAUAAAACAAAUGCUUAUCAGAAUUCAAUAUACAAAUGCUAAUUUUAAAGUACUUCAAACUGUAAAACUAAAAUUUCAAGUGUGUUCUUUCUUUAAUGGAAAGUAAAAAGUACCUCUCAUUUCCUUCGUUUCUUCUUUUUAUAGAUAUUUUUGAACAUUAAAACCAUAUACUGGGAAAAUGUGGCAUAUAAAGUAUUUGAACUAUUAAGGUAUGUUUUUUAAAUUUUGUGAGUUGAAUUUACAGAAGGGAAAUUUGAAUAGCAAGAGGAAGGCGAAAAGAAACUAAAGAGAAUGAAGAAAGAUGUGAAAGGGUGUAUUUCUACUUCUUUGUCACUUGAAGUGGUCUGUUGCAAGCGAUAGUAGUUUUUUAUAUGUUAAUAUCAUUAAUUAUGUUCUCUAUCUAGAAGUCAAUGAUUCAUUUGCAUUCAUUUUGCUUCUUCUAGACUGGUUUUUAAAGCUAAAAGAACAAAAAGCUGGCUCCUCCUGCUCAAAAGUUGAUGGAGAAUGUGGUUCCCUCUAAGUUCUUUUUAAAAGUUUCUUUACUUGAGAGGUUUCUUCCGUGCUAUCAUAUUUAGCACUUGGUUGACGUUUACAUAUAACUGGACUCCUGAACCGGUUUGUGGUACUAGCAUAAAGAAUUUUAGAUGUCCUGGCUUGCAACAUUAUGUGAUAUGAGCUUUCAGAGUCUCUUCGCUGGAGCUUUAGUGGCGAUGACACAGAAAAUAAUUCAGGUGUACACAAAGACGGAUUGAUGGAGGAGGAAGAUCUGUGUGAGGCUCAAAAGAAAUUCAUUUGCUCAGCUGCCGUUACUACUUUGAGUAUAUUUGGAGACCUCGGACAGUGGUACACGACGACUACAAACACAACUUAAGGCUCUACAACUUUCAAGAUGGAGGAGAAACAAAAAAUAGUCUGUGGUCCUUCAAUUCUCGAACUACCUAAGUUUAGGCAUUGUUGGUCUUUUGAACAUUUUACUAAUAAAAUAUUAUAUUAGAGUGUUGCCUUGUU